UGGGGAAUAUUGGACAAUGGGCGAAAGCCUGAUCCAGCCAUGCCGCGUGUGUGAAGAAGGUCUUCGGAUUGUAGAGCACUUUAGGUUGGGAGGAAGGGCAGUUACCUAAUACGUGAUUGUUUUGACGUUACCGACAGAAUAAGCACCGGCUAACUCUGUGCCAGCAGCCGCGGUAAUACAGAGGGUGCAAGCGGUAAUCGGAAUUACUGGGCGUAAAGCGCGCGUAGGUGGUUAGUUAAGUUGGAUGUGAAAUCCCCGGGCUCAACCUGGGAACUGCAUUCAAAACUGACUGACUAGAGUAUGGUAGAGGGUGGUGGGAUUUCCUGUGUAGCGGUGAAAUGCGUAGAUAUAGGAAGGAACACCAGUGGCGAAGGCGACUCUCUGGACUGUCACUGACACUUAGGCUCGAAAGCGUGGGUAGCAAACA
rnacentral:rRNA from 1 species